GCCUCCCCAUUCAGGACCUUCUGUUAACAAAGCUCAAUACUGGGACAGCUGGCAAAAGAGAAAUGUUUACAGACUCUUGCUCCAACAUCACAAAGCAGGUCACAGAAAAGCAAAGUCGAGGCUGAGAAACGAGUCACUCUAGAGAUGGUCUCCCUAGCUUCCUGUGAAGAAGUGGCCAUGCUAGCAUGGUACCCACCUGGCACGGGGCUCAGGGUGGUGUCCAGGAUCUGAGAGCGGUUGGCAUCCAACAGCGGCAACAAGCCAGGAUCCUCAGUCCUACAACCGAAAGGACUGUGGCCACUCUGAGUAAGCCUGGAAGUGAAUUCUUCCCCAGUUGGCCUCCAGACGUUGACGCCACUUAGCCAACACUGUGAUCACAGCUUUUGGAGACCCUAAGCCAAGAACGUGGAAUGUGUGGAUGUGGAGUUCACAGUUACUUGGCUUCACUAAAAUAUAACAAAUAUUAAAUAAACAUUAAAAAGUGAAAGUGUGAUCUUUAUCCCCAAGAAGUCUGUGAAAUGCUCUUGCAUGCUCUCUAACGCCAUCACCAAGUGCGGGCAGGAAAGUCGCCAGGGCCCGUUCAGUCUCGAGAACAACAGCAGGUGAGACCUUCCUUUUCUUGGGACAAUAUGCCACACAAAUGCGAUGCUGGACAAAAAGUGGGCAUUCUGAAUCAAUGCACUUUUUAUACUUAAAAAGGAAAAAGCAAAAAAAACACAGAUUCACUUCUCCCGGAAGACAGGAUAAAGACAAGUAAACACUGAGAUUUUCAGACAAAAAGGUGCUGUGGAAGUGCAGAACGUUAUUAAUUAACAUAGUUGUAAAAUUUCAGGUUCCAAGGAGAGAAAAAUUUUGGAAGCAAUUAUAAAAGUCAUUAUAUAACAUUUAGAUUAAAUAAACAGUUCUCUUAAGGAAAACAAAACACUGAAUUUUCCUUUGAUUUUCCAAAUAUGAGUAAUCCAAUUCGCUAGCUCUCACCUGGCACUCAGUGGUAUUGAAAAACUUGCAGAUGACCCAGUAAACACAGAGCUCCUAACAAUGUCACCCCAAUCAAAUGUAUUGCAUUAAAUCAAACAUAAUUGCUCCCCGUGUCAUAACAGAAUAACAUAAAUGUCACAGAGGCAGAGGCAAAGGACAUGCAUUCACUUCCUCUUGACUUAAAAAGUGAAUAAAUUCUAAAUAAUAAAGCAACUUGUGAGCCAGUGCUUUCCCACAAGUUAUUCUGGGGAGAACAGGCAUGUAUGAGAGUGAUGGGUGUUUGUAUUUAAUUCUUUUUUUACUUUUUAAGAAUUGGAAGUUCUGGAGCGCCUGGGUGGCUCAGUCGGUUAAGCGUCCGACUUCGGCCCAGGUCAUGA